rnacentral:rRNA from 1 species
UACGUAGGUGACCAGCGUUGUCCGGAUUUACUGGGCGUAAAGAGCGCGCAGGCGGUCGUUCAAGUCGAGUGUGAAAGCCCCCGGCUCAACUGGGGAGGGUCACUCGAUACUGAUCGACUUGAAGGCAGGAGAGGGAAGCGGAAUUCCCGGUGUGGUGGUGAAAUGCGUAGAGAUGUGGAGGAAUACCGAUGGCGAAGGCAGCCCCCUGGGAUAACACUGACGCUCAUGCACGAAAGCGUGGGGAGCAAUCAGG